UGGGGUUACAGGUGUGAGCCACCACUCCUGGCCACUUGAGAGUUUUUAUUUAUGUUGGAGUAUUUACUUCUGUACCUCUCCUUAUUCCAUUAGUUCUGUGUUUUCCUAGUUAAUCUUUUACUUCUGAUUUAUCAGUUUGGGGAUGUUCUUCAGCAGUCCCCUAUUGCUCAUGCAACAUGAGUGCUUUCAGUUUUCCCCUUUUUCUUUCCUCCUCCUGUGUUUAGUUGUAUUAUUUCUACUUUAUUUCUACUUUGUCACAAUAUUAGUGACAUUUGUAUGCUGGUCUUCUGCCCUGGACAGGGAAUAUACACCUGUCAGAUUGAAGGAAUGUCAUAUUAUAUGCUGCUGCCAAAUAGACUCUAACAUACUUUAAUCAUCUUUUAAAUGAUACACUCCAAGUUCACAGUUAACUCCUGACUUUUUAUUUCUGUCAUAUUUAGUAAACAUAUCAGCAUUGACAGCCAUCCCACUGCAGUAUCACUUCAUGUAUUUCUGUAGACCAAAGGGUCCUGAGAAACUUCUGGAGUUGUCGUGAGAGCCAGUCUCACUAAAGUCAAGUCAGACAUCCACCUGUGCUGUUGUCUACUAGGAGCUGAAUUCGGGAGACACAUUGUUAUGAGCAUCUGUGUGGAGUGAGGAAUGUGUAGUUAUUGGUGGUGGACUUGUCAGGAUCAAGGAUGAGCCCAAGCAUCUGGGAUGUGAGGUGUGGCUGAAUGAGGGGCCACCUGUUCUGUUGCAACAGGAUGAAUAACACAUUCAGAGCAGGCUGAACUGGUGAACUCCUCGAUGAUCUCACAAUACUACUAUCAUGUAUCUUUCAUUUUUCACAUCACAGUGUAUUUUCAUAAAAUCUUUGCUGGUUGACUACAACUUUAGCAUUUCCCAUUCAAGAGACAAUUGCUGUGCACUUGGAUAGCUUGGUAGAAAGAAAAUUGGCUAUUUUCAGCGUAAACAAUUCAAGGAGGAAACUAAUUAAUAAAUGAAAUGACAUAGGUGUGAGAUCAAGCAAUGCUUAUAAUUGUAGCAAGGACUAGAGUGCUGAGGUACCUGUAUGAUAAGUAAUUAUAAUGGAACCAAUGUUGUGCUUUAUUUUUUAUUAAUUUGGGGCAUUCUGUGAUCUGAUUUGUUUUCUGUAUAAUAUUUUGCUGCAGGUUAAAAGCUGAAGCAACUUCAGGGAAACCUCAGGGAAAAAAGAAGGGCUGGAAUGAGAUCCUCCACUUCAGAGAAUAGGGAGAAAAAAGGACACGUGAAAUACUACUUAUCCAUCUCCUGGGUCUUAGCGGUA